CAGCCGCCGCGGUAAUACGGAGGGCGCGAGCGUUGUCCGGAUUCACUGGGCGUAAAGCGGGUGUAGGCGGUUCCUUAAGUCUGAUGUGAAAUCUCGCGGCUCAACCGUGAGCGGUCAUUGGAAACUGGGGAACUUGAGUGCAGGAGAGAAGAGCGGAAUUCCACGUGUAGCGGUGAAAUGCGUAGAGAUGUGGAGGAACACCAGUGGCGAAGGCGGCUCUUUGGCCUGUAACUGACGCUGAGGCGCGAAAGCGUGGGGAGCAAACAGGAUUAGAUACCCUGGUAGUCCACGCCGUAAACGAUGAGUGCUAGGUGUUAGAGGGUUUCCGCCCUUUAGUGCUGCAGCUAACGCAUUAAGCACUCCGCCUGGGGAGUACGGCCGCAAGGCUGAAACUUAAAGGAAUUGGCGGG
rnacentral:rRNA from 1 species